rnacentral:rRNA from 1 species
GUGAGGAAUAUUGGACAAUGGGCGCAAGCCUGAUCCAGCCAUGCCGCGUGUAGGAAGACGCAUCUAUGGUGUGUAAACUGCUUUUGUACGGGAAGAAACACUCCCUCGUGAGGGAGCUUGACGGUACCGUAAGAAUAAGGAUCGGCUAACUCCGUGCCAGCAGCCGCGGUAAUACGGAGGAUCCAAGCGUUAUCCGGAAUCAUUGGGUUUAAAGGGUCCGUAGGCGGUUUAAUAAGUCAGUGGUGAAAGCCCAUCGCUCAACGAUGGAACGGCCAUUGAUACUGUUAGACUUGAAUUACAAGGAAGUAACUAGAAUAUGUAGUGUAGCGGUGAAAUGCUUAGAUAUUACAUGGAAUACCAAUUGCGAAGGCAGGUUACUACUUGUGGAUUGACGCUGAUGGACGAAAGCGUGGGGAGCGAACAGGAUUAGAAACCCUUGUAGUCC